rnacentral:rRNA from 1 species
GACGAACCGUGCGAACGUUAUUCGGAAUCAUUGGGCUUAAAGGGCGCGUAGGCGGGCGACCGCGUCGAGUGCUGAAAGCCCCCGGCUCAACCGGGGAACGGGCCUCGAAACGGGUGGCCUGGAGGCGAGGAGGGGGACCUGGAACUUCCGGUGGAGCGGUGAAAUGCGUUGAGAUCGGAAGGAACGCCGACGGCGAAAGCAAGGUCCUGGACUCGUCCUGACGCUGAGGCGCGAAAGCCAGGGGAGCGAACGGG